rnacentral:lncRNA from 1 species
CUAUCUAAGGCAUGCAGCUUCAGAGCUGAGAGGAUACAAUCAAGAUCCAGACUGACAGUGCUCCUCUCUUCAUUGGGUGAGGCUGACCACCGCACUUGACUUUGAAGCAAGCAACAAGGAUAGCUCUUGAAUAUCUGCCCAGGGUGAUCUGACUUGCAGGAAUAUGGAACAGAUUAGACGACUCGGAAGCUGUGAUUGCUGCAGGUCAUGCAGAGAAGGUG